CCUCACAGUGCAGAGGUUGGAUUCCAGUGCCGGCCUUUUUUGUGUGGAGUUUGCAUGUUGUCUCUGUGCCUGAGUGGGUUUUCUCCGGGUACUCCGAUUUCCUCCCACAUUCCAAAAACAUGCGUGAGAGGCUGAUUGAACACUCAAAAAUUGUCGACCUCACAGUGCAGAGGUUGGAUUCCAGCUCCGGCCUUUUUUGUGUGGAGUUUGCAUGUUGUCCCUGUGCAUGAGUGGGUUUUCUCCGGGUACUCCGAUUUCCUCCCACAUUCCAAAAACAUGCGCGAGAGGCUGAUUGAACACUCAAAAAUUGUCG